UACAGAGGUCCCAAGCGUUGUUCGGAUUUAUUGGGCGUAAAGGGUGCGUAGGCGGCGGAGUAAGUUGGGUGUGAAAUCCCGGGGCUCAACCUCGGAAUUGCAUUCAAUACUGCUUCGCUAGAGUACUGGAGAGGAGGCUGGAAUUUACGGUGUAGCAGUGAAAUGCGUAGAUAUCGUAAGGAAGGCCGGUGGCGAAAGCGAGCCUCUGGACAGUUACUGACGCUGAUGCACGAAGGCCAGGGAGCAAACGGG
rnacentral:rRNA from 1 species